AGAGUUUGAUCCUGGCUCAGGACGAACGCUGGCGGCGUGCUUAACACAUGCAAGUCGAACGAUGAAAUCUCUUCGGAGAUGGAUUAGUGGCGAACGGGUGAGUAACACGUGGGCAAUCUGCCCUGCACUCUGGGACAAGCCCUGGAAACGGGGUCUAAUACCGGAUGAUACUUCUGCUCGCAUGGGUGGGGGUUGAAAGCUCCGGCGGUGCAGGAUGAGCCCGCGGCCUAUCAGCUUGUUGGUGAGGUAGUGGCUCACCAAGGCGACGACGGGUAGCCGGCCUGAGAGGGCGACCGGCCACACUGGGACUGAGACACGGCCCAGACUCCUACGGGAGGCAGCAGUGGGGAAUAUUGCACAAUGGGCGAAAGCCUGAUGCAGCGACGCCGCGUGAGGGAUGACGGCCUUCGGGUUGUAAACCUCUUUCAGCAGGGAAGAAGCGCAAGUGACGGUACCUGCAGAAGAAGCGCCGGCUAACUACGUGCCAGCAGCCGCGGUAAUACGUAGGGCGCAAGCGUUGUCCGGAAUUAUUGGGCGUAAAGAGCUCGUAGGCGGUCUGUCGCGUCGGAUGUGAAAGCCCGGGGCUUAACCCCGGGUCUGCAUUCGAUACGGGCAGACUAGAGUGUGGUAGGGGAGAUCGGAAUUCCUGGUGUAGCGGUGAAAUGCGCAGAUAUCAGGAGGAACACCGGUGGCGAAGGCGGAUCUCUGGGCCAUUACUGACGCUGAGGAGCGAAAGCGUGGGGAGCGAACAGGAUUAGAUACCCUGGUAGUCCACGCCGUAAACGGUGGGAACUAGGUGUUGGCGACAUUCCACGUCGUCGGUGCCGCAGCUAACGCAUUAAGUCCCCGCCUGGGGAGUACGGCCGCAAGGCUAAAACUCAAAGGAAUUGACGG
rnacentral:rRNA from 1 species